UUUUAGUUCGCCUAGGGCUGACCCUGUCCUCUUCAAAUAAUUUACUCUUUCUAACUCUCCUUUUGAUUUUUUAAUAUGAAUUUAUGGUUUGACCAGGUAAAUAUUCUUCACCUAGCUCAAGCAGAACACUCAACGAUUUUCAAGAGAGACGAAGAGGGAAAAGGGAACGGAAACCCAAAGUUCAUUUUGAUGAGGUGUCUUCUCCAAUCAAAUCAGAAAGGAAGGAUCGUCGAUUAAAGGUAAUGCGGUAUCUUGGCCUUGCACCUCCGGUUGGUUCUCCUUUUUGACCAAGAUUACGAGUGAAGAAAUGAAUAUUUCUAAUGUUUCUGGCCUAAUAGCUCUAGUUGGUUCUCCCUUUUUUUCUAACUAUAAUAUAAUAGUAGUCUUGCGUGCAUAAUUCAAAAAUUUGUUUCUACUCCUUGCCAUUCACCUAGUAACACCUUUUUUUUCCAGAUUAUUUAGUCUCAUUGUUUCAUUACUAUAUGUAAAAACCGUACUAUUCAUACGACAAUAUUUGAAGGAAUAUAAUCAGUUAUAUCCAAUAAAUUUUUCUGUUUUUUUUUUGGAAACUUUGUUGCUUCAUGGUGGAGUACAAAGACUAGCUCAAUGUACACGAAAUUUUAAUCUAGAUUGGGUAUUGCUGUGCU